rnacentral:lncRNA from 1 species
UCUCCUUCAGAUUGUUCAACCUCGCCUCACAUACUCCCCCUUCCUCCCAGAUCCACCAGGCUGCGCUCCUCCCAUGGCAUCCAUGGCGCGGGUCAUCCUACAACAGCUGAUAUGUGACGAGCGAGGCAGGGAAGAGGUGUUCCUUCUCAUGAUCUGCAGUGCAUCUCGUGUUCCAUGACGUCCUUGGAGAUAUGUACACGACUGCUUCAGCACGUACAACCACGGUGGUGGUAAGAGAAGGACGACCCCUUCCCUUCCUUGCUAGCUAGCUGUUCUGAUUUGGGUUGGUCCAAUCCGAUCCAAUCCUGCCAUGUAGUUUGGUUGUAACAUAGGAGAGGGAUACCUGUAGUUGAGUUUCAGUUUGGACAGCAUUUGACACACAUUAUUGGGGGAUUUGGUUUAGUUCAGUUUGUAUGUGCAUUCCUAAAAUUGAAAAUGAAAUUGGUUUGGUGUUCAAUCCCCACAAACUAAUCUGCAACAUUUUUUAUUUGACUUGUAUUGCAUCAGCAACUUAAAUUUGUCUGUUAUGUUUACCAAAUCUGUAGAGGCUUGAUAGAUAUCAAUGUCACCCUACUGUUAGUUUCUUGCUCCGGGUCUUGUGGGGUUGGGGAGUGUUGGGUCCUCACUCUGCUGAGCUGCAACAAGCUGGCUGGGGGAGCAGUACUGUUUAGUAGUACAUUAAUGCCACCCGUCAGGUUUAUACUGUUGUUUACUAGAUCAAACUUGAUCCAUGCUCCUAUUGGUAUUAGGUGAUCAUGUAGGUCAAGUUAUAUUACAGCUGGAUGCUUAGUUUCUUACUAUCCCUGAUCCAUGCUCCUAUAGAGUAAUUUCUGGCAUACACGAGGGGAAGUGCGAAAUGGCUUGGUUUUGUUGAUGCUUUUAUUGCUUUACUAAGUACCUGUACAAUUCUUCCAUAAGUGAAAGAAAUUUCUGAAUACAGUACUUCAACAAGUGUUUUGACAUUCAGUUAAUUUGGCACGUGGCUAUGGAACCUUGGAGGAGUUGCUCAAGUCAUCACGUGGGCACAACUAGGUGUAAACAAGAGGACGGUAAAAACUAACUUCCAUUUGUUGUUGAUGCUUAUCAUACAAAAAUCAUACAACCCCAAUCAUCCUGGGAUGAUGUGUUUGUCUGCAAUAUACAGUGACUUGGUCAUCAUAUACGCAUUAGACCAACAGUGAACAUAUUAAAGUUAGUUGCCAAGAGCAAGUGUGCUACUACUAGUCUGCUACAUAGGAGUCAUUUGUGCAUGCAAGUGAUGUGCGUACUUGUACAGUGCUCCUCCGUAAAGGCUUGGUGGCCCUGUGCCGCAAGCUAGUGUGCUACUACAGAAUGAACAUUAAAGCAUGCAAGUGUUUGCGCUAGCUUAGAGUGGUACAGUUUGGGUAAAUACCUUACUGUUUGUGCUACACAAUUGGAAUGAGUGUUGGUGGUGUUAGUUUUUACUUAAGAAAAUUUAUCACCUACUCAAUUUGUCAAGUAUAUACUCUUUUUUAUGUGGUAUUUAACGAAAUUGUACCAAAAUAAUAUGGUAUAUAUCGAAACCUUGUCGAGGGAACAUCAAGGCUUCAUUACUGCCUUGAUGUCUCAUUCAAUUAUUACUUGACUUCUUAAUAUAGUUGUAUGAUUAACCCUUCUGUUUUCCCUUCUUUGGGUUUGCAAGCAACAAUUUCAUUGAUGUUGAGUGUUUUUCGCUUAUUACAGCAGAGAUGGUGAAUUUUGUACUAUUGUAUUUACAGAAAUGCGUGUACAUAGAUUUGCAAUCUGAAGGAGCGAUGAAGUGAAGAUUGAGUGCUUUUCUUUAAGAUUAAUAAUAGAUGGUAUAUUUUUUUGUUUUGAUUUAAGAGUGUUUGAUCUGGUACAUAGUGCAUUUGUUUAGUCUCAAAAUUUCAGUGUUAUCUCUCUAUUUCUCAUAUUAUUCACACCACGUCAUUGGUGAAAGCCUGCUGAAAAGAAUAAUUAAACAAUGGUGUGCUAAGUUAAACUAAAAUGUUAUGUACUAAAGGAAAAAAAUGACAUCUAGGUAUAUUCCCUUGAAUGAUUUACUAAAUACAUUUUCAUGUGAGGGCUCUUUACAGAAAGUAACUGAGAUCCAUUUAGAAAAUCAUGUUAAUAUUUUUUUGCGUAUCAUUAACUAAUGGUUCCAUUGUUAACAUUGUAUUAAUAAUCUUGUACCCUUUUUAUAAUACUAUCCCUCGUAUUCAUUUUAUUGUAAAGACAAUAAUCAGGAAGUGGCAUGUAUAAAAUUUCAACAUUUGCUCUCUCUCUCUCAAUUCCUUGUCCCAUCUCAUUCUGAAGUUUGGGCAGAGAUAAUUAUUUACCUUGUAUGCCAUGAAGACUAUGAUUUAUUGUAAUUGGAGAAUGCAUGCGUUUUUCUCUUCCAACAUAUAUUAUUGUUCUUCACAAUUCCCGAGUGUGGUUAUAUAUAGAUUGCUUGGAAAAUCAACUAAUAUUGUUACUCUAUUCAUUUGGGAGUUAGUUGUUAUAACUUACUAUAAUUUUGUAUGUGUUGAAUUUUUUGCAGGUUUGGCAAUUAGUCCGUGUCACUGGAGAUUGAAGCUUUUUAGCAGGAAUUACUUGGGCCCGAAUAGCUGCCUGGAAGUGGUGGUGUACUGUUGGAGAUUAAGAUAAACUAGUAGUGCAUUUUAGUCAUGUUUAUUUGAAAAUUUAAAAAAUACUUAUAGUGCGUUCUAGAUAUGCUUCUGAUAUUUUGAUAUUAAAUUUUGUUUUUUGUUGGAAAUCUGUAAUUGUCUUGUGAAUGAGUGCUAUUAUUUGAAUGAAUAUAAUUUGGUUGCAUUUGUAAAUUAUUCUGCGUCAAGAAAACAAGCUG